rnacentral:rRNA from 1 species
GACGAACGCUGGCGGCGUGCUUAACACAUGCAAGUCGAACGGAAAGGCCCUGCUUUUGUGGGGUGCUCGAGUGGCGAACGGGUGAGUAACACGUGAGUAACCUGCCCUUGACUUUGUGAUAACUUCAGGAAACUGGGGCUAAUACCGGAUAUGAGCUCCUGCUGCAUGGUGGGGGUUGGAAAGUUUCGGCGGUUGGGGAUGGACUCGCGGCUUAUCAGCUUGUUGGUGGGGUAGUGGCUUACCAAGGCUUUGACGGGUAGCCGGCCUGAGAGGGUGACCGGCCACAUUGGGACUGAGAUACGGCCCAGACUCCUACGGGAGGCAGCAGUGGGGAAUAUUGCACAAUGGGCGGAAGCCUGAUGCAGCAACGCCGCGUGCGGGAUGACGGCCUUCGGGUUGUAAACCGCUUUCGCCUGUGACGAAGCGUGAGUGACGGUAAUGGGUAAAGAAGCACCGGCUAACUACGUG